UGAUGACGCCACGGAGCUCUGCAGCUGGUCACGUUUACAGAGAAGCUGUGCUUUAUGUCCCAGCUCAUUCUCAUGUAUAAUGUGGGGAGCAUUUGUCACUAAAGUACAGCUGUCAUUUAAAGUGCUUUGUAUUUUUGUGCAGGCUUUUAAACAGUCCAGCAUUUACUCGUUUUGAUGCUUACCCCAGCGAAGAGCAGUUGGCAGGUUCAUGAACUCAUGCUCCUGAUUGCAGCUUCCUUAGCAUAGUUUCAGUGAGACCCUGAUAGUAAAUGAAGGUGUGUUUGAAAACCAACCCCAGGACAGUAAAUGAAGGUGUGUUUGAAAACCAGCCCCAGGACAGUGAAUGAAGCCUUCCGCUCACUGCAUAAACUGCACCCAGAUCCUUGCCCGUCCUCAGCAUUGCACUUCACCCAUCACUUACUCCCUCAAUGACUUGGUGUCUGGGGAAAUGCUCCCGUAAUUGCACAGUGGCAUUUUUCCUGGAAAAUCCCACCAUGACGCUAGAUAAGACCUAUUUUUCUUAAAGGUUUCUAAAAUUUCCAACAUAAAUUCUGUCUGAAACAUCUGAUUUUUAAUCAGUACUGGAGCCCCUAGGGCAUCUCCAGUUGCCGUGUAGCUCUGGGCAUUCGGUGGUGUGUUGGUGUGUUGCGGGCUGCUUCCAGAAGUGCCUGCAGAGUCAGGGCUCCCCAUCCUUGCCUAGUGAGGCAGCAAACAGCCCUGCGGGGAUUUGGAGAGCUGCCCUGGGUCUCUGAAGUGAUAGUGACAGCUGCUUGUCAAUCCUGGUGCACAUUUAGUGCUGGGACCAGGGGGCAGGGGAUACCAGCCUCAUGCAUGCUUGCAUUCAUUCAUUCAUUCAUUCAGUACACAUGGGUACAACAUCCCUGUCCUGGAGUUGCUCAGAGUCUAGGGAGGGAAAGGUCUAUGACGGACCUUGGACAGGUGGGCAGUGAGGGAAGGAGUGGUCGUCAGUAUCCCCACCCCAGCUUUGCCUUCUUGUCAUCAGUCCUGGGGCCCCCACCUGUGUCCCUCCUCUUCCAUUUCUGCCCCAUCUCAUGGAUUCUCCUCCUCACCAAGCCUGGCCACACAGAGGGCCUCAGCCACUUCACUGGGGAAUUGGAAAGUGAUAAGAUAACACCCCUAAGAGGGCCAGUGAAGUCUGGGUCAGGACCCUUCUCUGAGCUCCGAGUCACUCUCAGAAACACCUCGAGGCUUAGCCUCCCCACUUUAUGUCCUGAGAGUGUGACCUUUUCCACUCCCAACACCCCCUUCUCCUCCAGGGCCAUGCCCACCCGUCAAAAUCCCCCCGGGGCAGGACGAACUGUGGCCAUCAGUCACCAUCUCUCUUGCAUCCCAAGGGCCCCUCCCUCUCCACAGAGAUAGGCAUGCAGACACCCACCCCGGUGCAUCUUCAUGUGGAACGGGUUCAAAAGUUAGCAUUGUUGUUUACACUGACAAACUGAAAAAAAGAAAAAGAGUUAAGACUGAAGGCUUGGCACAGUGGCUCAUGCCUGUAAUCCCAGCACUUUGGGAGGCUAAGGUGGGAGCAUCUCCCAAGCCCAAGAGUUGUAGACCAGCCGGGGCAGCAUAGCGAGACCCUCGUCUCUU